GUUAUGGCUCAGCGGCACAGCAUUCGCCUAGCAUGUGCGAGGUGCUGGGUUCGAUCCUCAGCAUCACA
rnacentral:tRNA from 1 species